GCAGCCGGGGAGAUAGCGGUGCCCUGUACCUGCAAUCCGCUAUAGCAGGGGUGAUGCCGAACCGAGGCUUCUUGCCUGUAGAGCAGCGCUUCAUAAGCGGCGUUGACGUCUGGGUCCUGCGCAACAGAUCUCUGUGAAUCGUGUCAGGUCGGGAACGGAGCAGCACUAAGCAGACCCUUCUGUGUGCCGUAGGGCUGCCUGGACUGAGUUGGCUGUGAAGAAAGCGUCUGUGGGCGGAUGUCGAAGCGAGGCGCACGG
rnacentral:SRP_RNA from 1 species